GAGCUGCUGUGAGGAGGAAGGGACAGGAGGUUGAGGAAGGGACAGAAAGGGUGAGAUGUCGUACGAGGGACAGACAGGGUUAGGUGCAGGAAGGAGUGAGCUGGUAAUGCAGAAGGAACAGAGAAGACUUCAGAGAAAGAGGCAGAGCUGUCCUUAGGCGACUAAAGUAAAAAGGAUUCAACAUAGCAUUAUUAUAGCACCAUAGAGUGACUAUAACACUUAAUUACCUGCUUCAAAAUGCCAACACUUCUCAGCGCCAGGAAGGAAUGUCUGUGCUUCCACACAAUCAAAUUCAAGUUCUGCUUUGUGUGAAAACCUUCACCUGAUGCUUCAAGACUAGUAUGUCAGCUAGAAUUGGCACUCAUUAUUCCCAUCACAAUCCAUGAUCCUCCUCCAGAGAAAACUGCAGUUAGCAGCCUUGUCAGUCUCCAGGCAUGCUUGGAUUAGACCUGCCCAUCUUUCCUGCUUUCUUGCAGCAAGCCUAGUGGACAAGGAAGGGGAGGUUGGGACGAAGUUUUCAUCUCUGCUCCUUACCGAAGUUCUGGCACAGCCUAAGGCACCAUGCCCUACUAAAGAAUGUACUUUGAGACAAAAAAAUCCUCCCAUGUUUCUAAUCUCUUUCUUGGGGUCUGGACAGAGUUUAGGUAGAGCCUCACCUUAUAUCCAGAAUCUUCUGCAUGUUUUAAAGCAAUUACAUUAAACUUGCAGAAAGGGUGAUAUGCCGUAUUUUUCCCCCUGAUUCCUAUACUACCUGCUUAAGUUGUCCAAAUCAAUGUGAGGCUCUAUAAAGUGGUUAAUCAAACUUUAAAAAAGACCAAACUAUUUGCAUGUGUUACACUUGUAGAUUGCAUCAGAUCCUUCCAGUAAAAAUUUCUGUGAAACAGCACAGGUUGAGAGUCAGGGGCUACAUUUACAAGGGAAAUUUUGAUAUUCUUUUCCAAUAAGUGAUCAGGUAUUGUGCUGUUUCUUCGGCCAUGUGGCCCAAUCUCCCUUGUUAGAAAUGAUGUCUUUGAGUAACUUGACCAUAAAUAGCCCUGCCCUGAGCAAGAGGUUAAAUCUGAUGACCUCUGGAAAUCCAUUCCAGCUGAAUUUUUAUAUUGUAUGACUCUAUUCCCAAAAAGUUUAGAUCAAUGGCUGGCAGGUAGAUAAGAGUGAAGAAAGGGCAGCCAAGGGGGAAUCUCUAGACCAGGCAAGGAUAUAGAAAAAAGGGGAAUAUUACAGGAGAAACUAGGAAAGGAAAAGAGCAGAAGGAACCCACAGCUGUGAUUAAAUAUUACUGUAUCCUCCAAGGAGCCUUGGGACAGGACCAGGCUGAGGAAUGGCUGAGCAGCUAUGA